UAUCAAACGCUUGUUUAUUUAAGGUUGUCCGGAUGAGAUUGGAAGAAGGGCGGAGAAUAGUUGGAACCCUGAUACCCGGCUCCGCCAUGGAUACCCUGGUCGGAACCUUGAAGGCGGGGGCGGAGAGCCAUAAUGCCGAGAUACACGAGGUCACAAUAGACGAUUAGGGUACUGAGGAGAACAAGUCAGGCUGUGAGGCCCAAAUAUCCUGUAUCAAGUUCAUUCUUCAAAUUUAGCAUCGGUUGCAAAUAUUCCAGUCCAAGAUCUAUUUGUGCAGUUUAAUCCAGAUACAUCUCGUUUAUAGAUCAAGGGAGUAAAAUCAGGAACUGGAUUUGUACUCAGAUAAAUCCGUAAACUUCUUAUGUUUAUUGUACACAGAGUACACAUACAAUCUUGACUUGAACAAUAAUCAAUAUUUAUUUCAUUUACCCAGGCCUGUAACUGUGUAUCUUUGUACAAUAUUUCUUCCUAAAUCAUGUUCACUGUACACUCCAUUUUCCUAGAUUAAUCUUGUACACUGAUCUCGUUAAUGAUGAGUACAAGUGUACUAUUAUUCCCAAUCCUUUUAUGUACAGUGUACUCUCCUAAAUCUUACAUGUACAUUGUAUCUUAAAAACAGCAUUUUUAAUUUAAUACAAUUUUGUUAUGUGUACAUAAACAUAUAUAUAACAGUCAGUAUGCAGGAUCAGGUUUCUUAGGAUUUUCUUUCUCAACCGAAGGAACGUUGUAUAGUUGAUGAAGUGACCAUUGUAGAAGUUACCUGUUCAAAUAUGUGGUUUAUUAGAUCUAGAAGUUUCCCCCGAGCCUUUAUGUAUGUUUUUAACAAGCUCUGUUUUACUCUGCACCCCUGAAUGGGGUCCUACAAAUUCACUGCAGGGUUCAUGCCCUGCACAAUAUUUUUAAUUGUCAUCCAUAGCUUUAGUUUAAACCAAUCCGAAUUGAAAAUUGUGAUUUCCCUCUUGUAUGUCUCUCCUAUGAAUAAAGAUGUUAGUAAUCGA